UACAAUAUGGGACAACAUCCCUAAUGCGCCUUGAAAUGAGGAACUCAAAAGUCACGUGUAAAGAAAAAAUCUCUGUGUAGUGAUAUUAGACAUGUUUCUAUUUUUAGCAAAUGACUGAACUUAAUUAUUUGUGGUGAUUAGGAAAGUAGAGGAACAUAGAAUAAAUGUGUAAAAACUAUGGAGCUAUUGAAUGUGUUCAAAGUAUUAAAUUUUCAAAGAACUUAUUGUGUUAAAAAGGGGAUAUUUUACCACAAGGAGCCGCAUCACAACAGGAUGUUCGGGUUUGCUAAUUUACGGAAAAAGUAAUCUCACUUCGUACCCCGAAAAUUUAACCACAUAUGUGAAAAUGUCACAGCUUCGAAACAAGCUAUCAUACAUAUCCAAGUUAACGACAUGGACUGAGCUACCGGAAAAAACGUUACCAUUACCGCCUAUGUAAAAACAAUUAAAGAUUUUGACCCAAAUUAGAAGCUCCAUUCCAGAGGUUGUCAGACUGAUUUAUGGAUGAUUUCACCUUGUACACCACCGAAAAUGAUGUUCCAGACAUAUCAUUAUUUUUCAACCUGAGAUGGCAAACUAGAGGUUUUAAAAAGUCCUGAAUAACUGAAAUGGACAAAAAUACAAAGAUUUAUUCAGAAUAUAAUACCGAUGAAGAUCACAUACAAAUAUUUGAAAAAAUCAGAAGUAUGGAUUACAAUAUGGGACAACAUCCCUAAUGCGCCUUGAAAUGAGGAACUCAAAAGUCACGUGUAAAGAAAAAAUCUCUGUGUAGUGAUAUUAGACAUGUUUCUAUUUUUAGCAAAUGACUGAACUUAAUUAUUUGUGGUGAUUAGGAAAGUAGAGGAACAUAGAAUAAAUGUGUAAAAACUAUGGAGCUAUUGAAUGUGUUCAAAGUAUUAAAUUUUCAAAGAACUUAUUGUGUUAAAAAGGGGAUAUUUUACCACAAGGAGCCGCAUCACAACAGGAUGUUCGGGGUUUGCUAAUUUACGGAAAAAGUAAUCUCACUUCGUACCCCGAAAAUUUAACCACAUAUGUGAAAAUGUCACAGCUUCGAAACAAGCUAUCAUACAUAUCCAAGUUAACGACAUGGACUGAGCUACCGGAAAAAACGUUACCAUUACCGCCUAUGUAAAAACAAUUAAAGAUUUUGACCCAAAUUAGAAGCUCCAUUCCAGAGGUUGUCAGACUGAUUUAUGGAUGAUUUCACCUUGUACACCACCGAAA